UACGUAGGGUGCAAGCGUUAAUCGGAAUUACUGGGCGUAAAGCGUGCGCAGGCGGUUAUGUAAGACAGGUGUGAAAUCCCCGGGCUUAACCUGGGAACUGCAUUUGUGACUGCAUAGCUAGAGUACGGUAGAGGGGGAUGGAAUUCCGCGUGUAGCAGUGAAAUGCGUAGAUAUGCGGAGGAACACCGAUGGCGAAGGCAAUCCCCUGGACCUGUACUGACGCUCAUGCACUAAAGCGUGGGGAGCAAACAGG
rnacentral:rRNA from 1 species